rnacentral:rRNA from 1 species
UACGGGGGGGGCAAGCGUUAUCCGGAUUCAUUGGGUUUAAAGGGAGCGUAGGUGGCCUGAUAAGUCAGUGGUGAAAUCUCUCAGCUUAACUGAGAAAUUGCCAUUGAUACUGUUGGGCUUGAGUGUAGUUGCCGUUGGCGGAAUAUGACAUGUAGUGGUGAAAUACAUAGAGAUGUCAUAGAACACCGAUUGCGAAGGCAGCUGACGAAACUAUAACUGACACUGAGGCUCGAAAGUGCGGGGAUCAAACAGG